GGGAACCGUGGCCCACAUGCGCCUGCCCACUCCGGUGGUUCUGUUUGAGUUCCUUCAGGGUGGCUGGUGUCCAGGUGACGUGAGCCUUCGUGUCUGGGCUCGGGGCUGGAGUGAGUGAGUGAAGAUCCUCACACCACAGAUGACCGCUUAGACGGAGAGGCUGAUCAGGAAA
rnacentral:lncRNA from 13 species